rnacentral:lncRNA from 1 species
CUGCACCCGGCCUCAAUGAGCGACUUUUAAAGAACAGAAUUUAAUGUCCAGGGCUAAGAAAAUUCAAGGAAACAGAUAACAUGAAGGGUAACUUUAUUCUAGCUCCUUGACCCCUAAUGAAAUUGGAGUCUGCCAUUUACCAGCUCCUGUUCCAGAGACGUCACAUGUUAGAUCAAAUUUAAUCCCCAAUAAGAGUCUACCUGGGCUGGAGUUGAGGAUCCUACAUGUCUAUUAUACAGAGUAUCUUCCAGAAGCUAUUUAUUGGAAUAAAACCAAAGUGCUGAAGGAAUUAAGCAGAGACAGAACACAUGAAAGAGAAAGGAUAACAGAUGAUGGAUAUAAGAAAGAAUAAAAAGCAAAAAGAUAGCAAACCUGCCUCAUUUUAUUAAGAAAUGUAAGCAAGUGGCAAAGGGGGUGGGGCGGAUGGAGAAGGGAAUAGAAAGCCAAUGUUACUAACCAUUGGAUUCAGCGUUAAGUCUAUGGAACUCCAACCAGUCAGAAAUGACUUUCCAUUUUUCAUCUAGCCAAUGGAAAUGAAACAUGUAUUUUAAACAAUAAAGUCAAUAAAAACUUCAGGAGAAAUAAUGUUUUGAUUCCUAAAAUAUAUGUUCUGAAGAGUUUGGCCCUAUUUUUCAAAAAGCCAAUUAGUGUUCACCACCGUUUCACACCAAAACAACAGGAAUUUCCAAUAAAAUGACUGAUAAGCCAUUCUAUUAGACAAGUUAAUAUAACCAGCCAAAUAACCAGUUAUUUUGGCGAAAUCUUGUUUGAUCAUUUUGCUAAGCUUCAAUUUUCCUCUAACUUGGUCUUGAGGUCUCUCUCUGGAGAGUAGCUAUCGAUUCUAGACCUGCUGGGGCGGGGGGCGGCCCCAGAUGUUUAUAGUGUUUCUCACAGAAUACCUCUUUUCCCAGCUGGACGCCUAAUCCUAAGCGUGGACACAUGACCAGAUGCCCCUCUCACAGAAAACUCGGUUAUAGUGGCAGCCACCCUUGUAGAUCUUCUCUCACCUGGGUCCAGCCCUGACCAGGAAGGGAGUUAGGUUCAAGUGAGACACAGGAGCCGGCACAACAAAACACAUGAUGCCAGAGAGAAGAGGGCAGCCCGCCUUGCAGGCCAACAGGAAGCGGGAGCCAUCUGGAACCUAUGUGCUCAACCAACAAACAUACUGCGGCUCACGGAGGUUAAGGAACUUGCCCAGGCCACACAGCUGAAAUAAAUGCCAAGAAUAAAGACAUUUCCUAGCUUCCCUUGGAGUCUGCUGGGUGUGGCCAUUCAACCAUGCUCUGGCCCCUGGGAUGAAAAUGGAAGUCAUGUGUGCAACUUCCAGGAAGUGUUCUUAGCAGUGCCCCUCUUUCUCCUCCUGCUGGCUGGAAUGCAGACAUGAAGGCUGGAGUGGGAGCAGCCACUUCUUGAGGACAGCAAAGGAACAAGAAAAAAGGAGGCCCUGUGCCAGUCAUCAAAUCGAAUUGAUGUACAUGGUACAACCAUUCACCAACAUGAAGAUGAUUACUACAUCCACAAAAGUGUGACUGUGGGUAGGAAAGGGCCCUGGGGCAAUUCAACACAGAGGACAAGCAGAGAAGCAUUCAGCAGAGGAUACUAAGAAGGCAGCACUGGAAAGUGGGGAGAAGCUGGAAAAGCGUGCAGUCACAGGAAUAAGGGGAAGAACAUAUUCUGAGAAGGAAGGAACGAUCAACUGUAUCAACUAACGACAGAGAUGUGAUUACCCCUAGAUUUGUGAACAUGGAGGUCAUAAAUGGCAUAAACAAAAGCUGAUUUUGUGGAAUGGUGGCAAGAGAAGCCCAGCUGGAGGCAACUGAGAAGAGACUAGGAAGUGAGAAGUGGAAAGAACAGACACUAGAUGAUUAUGGAAUUAAGAAACUUAGUCUGAUGUUGGGUGCUAACAAGUCUCCCUAAGAAAUACUGUGGUUUCUCUAUUACAGAAGCCAAAGGGCAAGAGGCGAUCAACCAUCAGUUCAUUUAAGGUCAAUGACCAAAUGCAGUAGAGUUCACAGCUAUAUCAUCCCACAGGAAUGAGGAACCAUGGAACAGAACUGGAAAGCAAGUGGUCCCAAGUGUGCUGGUGUCAACUUUUAGAGUGACCAAAUGUCCAACGGUCCCAGCUUACACCUGUUGUCCCAGUAUGAGAAAACCAACUCAGAGGAGAUAAUGGCUUGCCCAAGAUCACACAGAAAGAGGAUAACAGAUCUUGGGCUACAAUCCGGGCCUCACGACUCUCUGCAUCUCUACCAUGUUGCUUGUCACCAACCAAAAACAUUUUCGUGGACAUUCCACAGAGAGAGAUUUACGC